GCCAAGACAGCUCUAGAAGAGUUUUGAACAUGUUUUGGUCCUUUAUUUUCGUUAAUGAAGCCUUAAAUUUGCAGCUGUGCCGGAUAUUUUCACGGUUUACGUAUUCCACGUUGCCAAAUCGGAAAAUCAAAAUUAUGGAAAAGCAAAAACCGUUUCAAAAAGUACGCCAAUGGAUAAUUUAGGAAGUUUUAAAAUUGUUGUUGCUUAAUUGGUACAACUGUUUACAGUGUUUUGUCAACUCAUUUUUUCAACUCACUCAAAAAUCUCAUGAAAUAUUGUAUAGGUAAACCUCCCUUUCAAGUUUCAACUCCAUCAGAUCUGUAUUAUUUCAAAUAUAGAUAUCCUCAAAAGUUUCUAUGCUUUUUCUUUCGAAAGUUAUAAUGAAUACAUACGCACAGAAAAAAUUGCAUCAACAGAUUCAUCACCUAUUUUCUAUUCAAAAAUCAGAAAUGACCAUAGGGUAAUAACCAUGUUUAUUACUCUGAAGAAAUGACUGAUAAGGUCUUCUUCCUCUUCUUUAACCACGAUAGUGGCGUCUAUGGGCAACUAGCACUUGACAACGCGAAUUAUUCAAACAAAUACUGAUCAUAGUAACAUUGACUCGAUGACAAAAAAAAACAAACAUGUUACCGUAGUUACUUCAAAUUAAAUUCACUUCAACAAAAAAUCACGAAAUUUCAGUCGCACAUUUCAUUAAGCUCUUUUCCCCUCAAAAAAAAUCAAAAAACAACUUCGAAGUUCGUCAUCAUGCACUCAUCAAAAGCUGAUAAAUCCCAAGAAAAAAAUGUUAAGAAGACUGCUGGAGGAUGUGACCAGUGCCUGAAAUGUAAAUGCAGUAGUGACAGCACCGCCAAAGAAAAUACAGGAGGAUGUGCCUGCCAACCAAAGAAGAGCACAGCCGCAAGAAAAUACGAUGACGAACUUUGAAAAAACAAAUUAACAUGUAACUUAUUCACAAGAAUAUAACCCAUCCAUUCAGA